GCACGUACCGGCAGGUACGGGCGGAUACAGAGCGCGCACCGCCCCUGAGCGGGGUCAGGGAUCUCCCCGGUGCUCCUCAGCCGCUCAGGUCAUCCCAACGUGGAUUCCCUCACCAAGGGAAUAACAUCUUCCUUCCAGUCAAGGACUUCCCACCUAACAAGGAACAAGGAAUUUACUCCAGAUUUAUUCCAGAGUCUGCAGCCUCAGCCACACAAACCUACCAGGGAAGCAAAGAAAGCUCCUUCCAGCUGCAGAAUUCCUCUCUUUGAUGGGAACACGGGAGCACUUCCAGGCGGCAAGGUGGGGGCACAGAGCAGCAUCAGAACCCCCAGCACCCCUUUGCUCUGGCAUCACCAGAAAACCGAGUGAAAUGGGAGAAGAAACACAUCCUGUGGCUUGGAAUCGGGAAAUGCCUGGGGAAGCAGGAGGAGGGACCCACCUCAGAGAGGAAUGGGUUAAACACAGCCCCCUGGCAGAGCAGUGGGCAGCUGCAGAGCUGGAUGCCAACCCUAACAGCAGCACUGACAUUGUCUCCAUGAGAACAACAGGACAAUCAGGGAGCAGCUCAUAUUGGAGUGACUCUGACAGAGACAGAAAUGUGUCCAUGUUUCUGCAGCCCUGAGUCCCUUCCAGGACAAGGUUUAACUCAUGUUCUGACUCUCAGGGCAUCAGGGAGACACUGAGCUGUGUUAUCCUGCCCCUGGGGUACCCAACAGCCCUGACAUUCCCAAAGGAGCAGAGCAGCUGAUGGAUGGGAAGUACACACUGCUGCAUCCUCACCUGUUUGCAGAGUUGGGAACAGCGGGAGGGAGCACCUGGAAUGCAAAGGAAAUGGAUCUGUGAGUUUGCACAGCAUCACUGUGUGCUAGAGAG